rnacentral:rRNA from 1 species
AUAUCAAUAAGCGGAGGAAAAGAAACUAACAAGGAUUCCCCUAGUAACUGCGAGUGAAGCGGGAAAAGCUCAAAUUUAAAAUCUGGUGGCCUCUGGUCGCCCGAGUUGUAAUUUAGAGAAGCGUCUUCCGCGCUGGACCAUGCACAAGUCUCCUGGAAUGGAGCCUCAUAGAGGGUGAGAAUCCCGUCUUUGGCAUGGAUGCACCAGGGCUUUCGUGAUGCGCUCUCAAAGAGUCGAGUUGUUUGGGAAUGCAGCUCAAAAUGGGUGGUGAACUCCAUCUAAAGCUAAAUAUAGGCGAGAGACCGAUAGCGAACAAGUACCGUGAGGGAAAGAUGAAAAGCACUUUGGAAAGAGAGUGAAACAGUACGUGAAAUUGUUGAAAGGGAAACGCUUGAAGUCAGUCGCGUCGACCGAGACUCAGCCUCGCCUUGGCUUGGUGUACUUCUCGGCCGACGGGUCAGCGUCAAUUUUGCCCCUCGGAUAAUGGCAAGGGAAAGGUAGCACCUUUAUAGGUGUGUUAUAGUCUCUUGUCGCAUGCGAGGGUCGGGAUUGAGGAACUCAGCACGCACCUCUCGGUGUCGGGGCUUCGGCCCACGCUACGUGCUUAGGAUGCUGGCGUAAUGGCUUUAAACGACCCGUCUUGAAACACGGACCAAGGAGUCUAACAUGCCCGCGAGUGUUCGGGUGGAAAACCCGUGCGCGUAAUGAAAGUAAAAGUUGGGACCUCUGUCGUGGGGGGCACCGACGCCCGGACCAGACCUUCUGUGACGGAUCUGCGGUAGAGCGUGCAUGUUGGGACCCGAAAGAUGGUGAACUAUGCCUGAAUAGGGUGAAGCCAGAGGAAACUCUGGUGGAGGCUCGUAGCGAUUCUGACGUGCAAAUCGAUCGUCAAAUUUGGGUAUAGGGGCGAAAGACUAAUCGAACCAUCUAGUAGCUGGUUCCUGCCGA